CUUUGCUCUUAAACUCAGCCUCACGGAAGAGAACAGAAGAGAGGGAAAGGCAGAAUGAGCUCAUUUGAGAGAGCCAGCUGCUUGGAGAGGCCUUUUCAGAACAUGCUCCCAGUGAGUCCUCAACGGAGAUCGGAACAACAGGGAGACCGAUCCCAGGUGACACAGGUGAUCUGAACUCGAAAUGCACCAUCCUACUGUGUGCCUCCACAAGACCGCGGACAGCCGCCUUUUUGAAAUGCAAGUCCCUUGAAGCAACUGAUAGUCCUAUUGGGUGCCAACAUUCAAUAUUGGCACUGGGAACAUGCUGUGAAUAAGACAAGGCUCUCGGCUCCAUUUUCAUUUCCAGAGGAACACAGAUGAAUGAGGAAACAAGAGGGCGUUCAGCAAAACUUCUGGCAGCCAUCAGUCUCCGGGGACUCAACAGUAAAUGGCACCCCUGCAAACGAGCUGGGCACCCCUGCAGACCAGCUGGGCACCCCUCCAGACCAGGUUGUCACACAGCCGAUCCUGGAGGCCUUUCUGUACCAGUGACCUUCUUGUAAUCCAUUCAUUUUGCAUGGCUUUCUUUUCUCAGCUGGAAUGCUGCAAGCAUAUGUGUCUGUCGAUAUAGUUGGAGAGGAGGCUAAGCAUGGUAGUGUGCACGGAGGCUGAACAUCAAGUUCAGGGGCCAUCACUUAGGCUCUGUCCACCUCAGCUUUUCAAGAUUUAUUUGUUCUUGUUCUUUAAGACAUUUCCUCUUAUGUGUUUCGAGUGUUUGCUUGCCCGCAUGUAAGUACACCGCAUAUAUGCCCAGGACCUGUGAAAGUCAGAAGCCAGUGUCGAAUCUCCUGGAACACAGGAAUCUCCUGGAGUCACAGGUGGUUGUGAGCCAUGGGGGUGGGGGGGAGUAAACGCAGGUCCUUUGCGAUAUCAGUGAGAAUUCUUAACUGCUGAGCCAUCUCUCUAGCACCUGCCCAUCUUAUUUUUGGAGAAAGGCUCUCUUAUUAACCCUGGAGCUCAGUGACUUGGUUGGAUCGGCUGCCUAGUGAGCCCCAGAAACACACAUACACACACACACACACACACACACACACACACACACACACACACACACACACACACACUGGGGUUGAAGUGUGCAGCCAUGGGCAGCACUUUACAUGGGUGCUGGGGACCUGAACUCGAGCCCUCAUGCUGGUGCAAUAGACACUUUACCAAAUGAGACUUCUCUCUAGCCCUUGGUAUUGGCCAAUUUUUAAAAGUCUGUAAUGUAUGGCCUUUCACUUUCUCUUUAUUCUAAAUAAAUACCCACUUUUUAUUUCUGCCUUUAUUUUAUCUUAUUUAUUUCAGAGAGAGGCUGCCCUUGACCUUGCAAUCUUCCCUGCAUCAGACUUCUGAAUGCAGGGAUAAUAGCUGUGUGCUCAUCUCUCCCUCCCUCCCCCUCCCUCCCUUCCUCCCUCUCUCCCUCCCCCAUAGGAUAAGGCCUAGCCUCUGCACUAGUGUAUCUUGGCCUAUUUUAAACUUAGAAGACUAACAGGGUGUGGAGGUACACACCAGCCAUGCCAGCAUUUGGGAGGCAGAGGCAGGAGGAUCGAG
ensembl:lncRNA